rnacentral:rRNA from 1 species
UUCCGGUUGAUCCUGCCGGACCCGACUGCUAUCAGAGUGGGACUAAGCCAUGCGAGUCAGCGUAGCAAUACGUGGCAUACGGCUCAGUAACACGUAGUCAACAUGCCCAGGGGACGAGGAUAACCUCGGGAAACUGAGGAUAAACCUCGAUAGGCCAUGAUUUCUGGAAUGAUUCUUGGCUCAAACCUAUAUGGCCCCUGGAUUGGACUGCGGCCGAUCAGGCUGUUGGUGAGGUAAUGGCCCACCAAACCUAUUACCGGUACGGGCUCUGAGAGGAGGAGCCCGGAGAUGGGCACUGAGACAAGGGCCCAGGCCCUAUGGGGCGCAGCAGGCGCGAAACCUCUGCAAUAGGCGAAAGCUUGACAGGGUUACUCUGAGUGAUUUCCGCUAAGGGAGUCUUUUGGCACCUCUAAAAAUGGUGCAGAAUAAGGGGUGGGCAAGUCUGGUGUCAGCCGCCGCGGUAAUACCAGCACCCCGAGUGGUCGGGACGAUUAUUGGGCCUAAAGCAUCCGUAGCCGGUCCUGCAAGUCUUCCGUUAAAUCCAGCUGCUCAACAGAUGGGCUGCGGGAGAUACUACAGGGCUAGGAGGCGGGAGAGGCAAGCGGUACUUUAUGGGUAGGGGUAAAAUCCGCUGAUCCAUAGAAGACCACCAGUGGCGAAGGCGGCUUGCCAGAACGCGCUCGACGGUGGGGGAUGUAAGCUGGGGGAGCAAACCGGAUUAGAUACCCGGGUAGUCCCAG